CCAUUCCUCAGCACUGUGCCUACAAAGAAGAACACAAGCAGUGCAGACAAAAGCUUCCCCAGGCAUUGCCAUGCUGCACUUAAUAUGGGUAGUCCUGGAGUUGAUGAGAUUUUGCAAUGAAAAAAUUCGUUGUUCUCAUGGAAAAUGAGCCAGCCAUGAAGACCCCUUGCAACCUCCUCGAGCCUGAGACCAGUUUUGGAGAUUGGCAUUUUAUCGCCUCAUCACAGCAUCUCACACAUCACGUGAUUCCAGCAGUUUCUCAGUGCUUUGGACACUUCAAGAUGGAUUGUGAGACACCAUAAUCAGUCCUGGGAACAUGAAAGAAUUUGGUUCAGAAGUAUUUAUGUAGAAAUACCAUUUCCUGGAAUCCAGCCAUUGGAAUCCCAAGGUCCUUGUGUUUUCUGGUCCAUUAUCAUGGCAAACCAGGCAUCCUUGACACAGAAAGUAAAACAGAAGAUACAGACAGAACUGCCACAUCCUAAUCACUGAGAGACUGGUCAUCUUAUAUUUGCAGUAUUUGCUAUAUUUGCAGAGAAGACAAUCAACAAAAUUCCCACUGAAGGAUAUAAUGCAGGUGUUUUUUUACAUACUGCUGCAGAUGCAGGCAUAUUCUAACAUAAUUCCAAAAGUACCAAGGCUUUUAUCUAUACUGUGUCCAUUGGUAUAGAUACAGGCCUUAAGCCAAGAAUCAGGAAAUAAUAUCAGGAUUACAGUUUUAAUUUUGGACUUCAAGCCUACAAAGAUGGAGAAGACGCCAUAGAAGAGGCACCACGUGCACUUAAGGGAUAUCCGUCUGAAUAACACUUAAUAGAGGAAAGUUUAUUGAACUAAAGAUUAUUAGAUCAAGACUUUCAUGAUUAAGCACAGAAUCUUCCAGGUCCCACUGAAA